AAUGAAGUGCCUGAAUAAAGGAUUACUGUGAUAGAGUAAUUAAUAAUGUAAAAAUAUUACUUCAUUA
rnacentral:tRNA from 1 species